UGCGUGGGAACUUGCUGGAAGGAAGGAAUGACCCUUCUAGCCAUGGAACGGUGGUCAUCCGUGAGCCACGGCCUCAGGAGGUGCCUUCCUAAUGUGCAGGUGACGAUUGCCUCUGAGCUCAGGCAUGCAGCUUCUGGGAUGCACUCUCCUUUCACGGCAAAGCAUUCUGCAUAGGAAAAACCGUCUCUGCGUCUCCAAGCUGUGGCCUAGCCCUUCAUUCAUCAAAUGGGAUACAACUUUCAUUUCUUAUUAAAAUCUGGAAGUCACUCUCCAUUUGUAAGAUAUCCCAGGGGUUGAUGUCAUCUUGUAAAGGGGGACAGUGCCAUUUUCUAUCUUACACUUUAAAAAGACAAAACCACUAGCUACAAACAUCAUUCACCACAGCAUGGGAGAGGCAACCCCACAGCAAAGGUUAUGUCAUGUUUCAUAAAUGGGUAUGGAUUUGGGGGCUGGUUUUUUUAAUAAAAACAUAUUUUGGUACUUUGGAACUUGACAUAAUUUGAGCUGUUUAUGUUGUAGAUGUUAUGAAUAGAUGUUAUGGUAUUAAUUAAUAGUGUGUAUUUUCUAUGUCUGGGCUUGCCUGGACCGCUGGUCCUUGCCUUUCUUUCUGACACAGAAUUUCCAGGGCCUCAACCUGCUUCUGUCUGGAAGUGACAGCCCACUCCACAGGGGUCUUCAGAUAGGGGUAGAAGGUGGUGCCCUGGGCUCUCCUGGCUCUAGAGAAUCUGGCUCUAGAAUCACGAAGCCUUCCAGCAUCCCCAGCUUCCCCCUUGCAGUAAUCCCAUAAGGGAAGCGUUGUCCCAUUUUACAGAGAGUCCGUGGGGCUGAGAGGUGUCAUGAAUUAUUCUAAUGGUAGUAACUCUAUUGGAGAGGCUGAAACCCGGGGCUCGUGGAUGUUGUGACCCACCCCCCACCAGAACCUCCCAUCCUGACUCACUGAAUAUUUAGUACCAUCGUCCCCUGGAGGAUGGUCUAGUUGGCAAGUAGCUGAGGAUUUUUAAUUCUAAUUUAGUUUAAACAUGGCUGUUUGUUGCUGUUGCUCUCUAAAGGGCCUUAUUAAAGACUCUUGCUGCAGUGAAGGUGGCCUGUCUAGGAAUCGAUAUGGAUGUUGAGAUCUGAGACUCUACAACACCCCCAAUCUCAGUCCUUCUCGCUCCAUAGGCAGUUCCAUUCCCUGCAGAUCUAACUCUGAGAUUCUCACUCCUGAAAAUGCCUGGACAAUAAAUAAAUCCAAGGUGAAGGUGUUGAUGCCAGUGACCUAGCUGCAUCAUUUUAUUCAUGGCAUCAAGCCUUCAAGAAUGUGGCUUAACUUGUAUUUAUUCACAUGAUAAUGGCUUUUUAUAAAUCUGCAUCUCUUCCUCCCCUAGGAAGAAAAAAAGGGCAUCUCUUCAUGAGUCACUUGAUUAAAAUUCCUCUCCAGUACUCUGUACCAUCCACUCAUACUGGAAUUGUUGAAAAUCAGGUGAUUUGCAACUCCACACUUGCCCAAAUUAAACCAUGAGUGGAAUUGACAAUAUGAAUCCUGAAUUUUCUGAGCUGGAAGGAGGUUCUAGUGAUUACCCACACCAGGGAUGGCAUUUUACACAUGAAGAAACAGAGGCCCCAGGGUUGUUUCUGAUCCAGAUUUGGAGUGUGUAAAUUGAUAAAAUUAGUAUCAAUGCUAUUGUAACUACCUGGAAUUGGUUAAAUAGCAGCAGUGCCAGUCACCUUUCUUAGAGUAGAGAUUGCCAGCAGGCAAUAUCUUCAUCCUCAGGACCCAGGUCUCUCUUCUCUGACCCUGCCUGGACCCUGACAAUCCCAGGGCGCUCUGCGUUGGAAUCAGUUUGGAUGUGUGUUACCAGAUCUUCGCUGAAGCAGGGCACUCUGCAUUGGAGUAAAUUUGGAUGUGUGUUACCAGAUCUUCGCUGAAGAACGCAAGGAACCCAGCAUGCAAAGCUGGCCACUACAGUUACAUUUUUCCCUCCCUUUGAAAAAAAUUUUAUGAAUGCCUUUCUGAACAAAGAAUAUGAACUAACCCUCAUCAUUCAUUACAUUUAAAUAGCAUAACAUGCCAUUGAAAUCCUUUUCCAGACGUUUCAGCAAGUGAAAUCAUUUGUGGUUCAUGUUAUAGCUUUUUCAGUAACAUGACUUGAGAAAUUUUUCUUCUUACUAAUAAAAGGGAAUCAUUCCCGCAGUUAAAGAAUUCAUCUUGGAAUCCUCUGGUUUUUCAUCAUGCUUUACUUUUAAAACUUCCCGUUCUGCUGUAGCAAACUUCCCAUUCUGCUGUGGCAAACACGAGUGCAUAUUAGUUUUCAUCUUUGGAAGAUGAAUGAAGUAUGUGACUUUUCAAACAGGGAUCUCACAUUUUAAGUCUAGUUAUUCCAGAAUAAAAACAAGCCAGAGGCCCAAACACAGGAUUCUUCACUGUCGUUAGCAAUUUGGGCACAAAUCUGAAGGGCCAGUUUGGUGCAGGUGUGCUGGAGGAUACAUGGAGAAAAAAAAACAUGUUCCAGUCUAGUUCUGAUACACAGAAAUUGAAAGAGCAACCCAAGGAGUUGGGUUGCUCUUCCACAUGGUCAGGAUGAGCCAAGGCUUCCGGGUAGGGCUUUUAGGGCAAGUGGGCCCCAGCUGAGCCCAGCAGGGGCAGGGCCAAGAUGAGCAGAAGGAAGAGAUAGGCUCUGGAAGGAGAGGCAGGAGGAGGCAGGUGUGGGCAGGUGCAGGCAGAUGUGGGCAGGUGGAGGCAGGAGGAGA
rnacentral:lncRNA from 1 species